GUAUUCUCGAAAAUAAUCUCGAGAGCAGUUCAAUAUGGCCAACUUUGGGCUCUCUGUAAACUUUAUUGCCUUCGCAUUGCUAGCACUUGCGAACCAGCCUCCUUAUGAUGGUGGUUGCCCAGGUGGUUGCAGUACCUGGACUAAAGUUGGCUAAUAAAUACCGAAAAAUCCACAUGUGUUUUAAUUUUAUUAGUUAAAAUGUUCAAGCUUAUUCUACUAAUAAACUCAAGAACUUUUGUGCGGUAUUAAAGAAAACCCAAAACCAAUUUAAAGUUUUUAAUAGGGCUCCUAAGAAUAUACAAAAUGAAUGGAUAGGAAUUGAAUGAUAUAAAAAAUAAUAAAUAUAUUAAGACUA